rnacentral:snRNA from 1 species
GGAUGUGAGGGUGAUCUGGCUGUGACAUCUGUCACUCCACUGAGCUGAUCUGGCUGGCUAGGCGGGUAUCCCCUUCCUCCCUCACCACUCCAUGUGCCUCCCUCCUGAAGCUGCAUGCUCACUCAAAGAGGACAACCUUCCCUGAUAGGGGAGGACCAUUAUUUUGUCAAUGGUGUAUGAGUGGCUGUGCGCCCUUGUUAGAGUCUCCAAACAAACUCUCAAGGUCCAUUUGUAGGGGAACAUAGAAUUUUAUUUUAUUAUUAAAAAAAAAAGACAUCACUCUUU